rnacentral:lncRNA from 1 species
UUCUCCCUCUCUCUCCAGCCAUUCUCCAUUCCCCAGGAGCAAGAAACCCUAAGGUUUCUUGCCGCCAGGUCCUAAAAAGGAAAGAAAAGCAAGGAGGCGCUAGCCCCUUCCCCCUUGCAGCCGCCAACCAGAUUGCUCCCCUCCUCUCUUGCAGCCAUCCAAGCAUCAGGUCCAGGAUCUGAAAUCCCUUGAGAAGAGGUUGAUACAAGUUCCUCUCAGAUCUGGAGUUGAUCUGAGGUCGUUUGAGGUGCGGGUGAGAUCUCUAUCAACAGAUCUAUAGGAAAGGCUGCAGCAGGACAGAUCUGCAAGGUCUGUCUCCAUCUACUUUCUUCCCUACUUAGAACACCCCGAUUUGAGAUAUACAAAUUGGAAGACCUUGGUCCAGGCCUGAUCUGUUGG